rnacentral:lncRNA from 1 species
ACCAAAACCACAAUUUAGCCCCCCUAAGAUUUAGCCCCAUUGCAACUUUGGUCCUUUUGACCAAUUUUGACCAAGUCAACGCUGAUUUGGCAUGCCACAUGUGUAUUUUUUAAUUUUCUUUUUUUUUUUAAAAGCCACAUAAUCAUUUAUUAAAUUAAAAAAAUUGAAAAAUAAAAAAAAAUCAGAAAUUGAAGAAUUUUUUUUAAUUUUCUU